UGGGGAAUAUUGCACAAUGGGCGCACGCCUGAUGCAGCCAUGCCGCGUGUAUGACGAAGGCCUUCGGGUUGUAAAGUACUUUCAGCGGGGAGGAAGGUGUUGAGGUUAAUAACCUCAGCAAUUGACGUUACCCGCAGAAGAAGCACCGGCUAACUCCGUGCCAGCAGCCGCGGUAAUACGGAGGGUGCAAGCGUUAAUCGGAAUUACUGGGCGUAAAGCGCACGCAGGCGGUCUGUCAAGUCGGAUGUGAAAUCCCCGGGCUCAACCUGGGAACUGCAUUCGAAACUGGCAGGCUAGAGUCUUGUAGAGGGGGGUAGAAUUCCAGGUGUAGCGGUGAAAUGCGUAGAGAUCUGGAGGAAUACCGGUGGCGAAGGCGGCCCCCUGGACAAAGACUGACGCUCAGGUGCGAAAGCGUGGGGAGCAAACA
rnacentral:rRNA from 1 species